CGGCGGAGUUGACGAAGUUAGAGCCGAGCGGCGCGUGCCCGCUUCCCGCGUGUGCCUCAGCUUCUGCUGUCGCGAGCAGAACAGGUUGGCUGAAGUCCGACUGCGCUCCUUGUGCUGCGUUUGCACAAUCUGUCAUAUCAGUGUCCUACUUGUUAAACUCGAGGAGAGCGAAUCUUGUGAAACCUUGAACUUUGCUCCUCUAUUUACUGAACCGCCACAUGCAGUAUAACCUAUGAUUGUUUGGCAAGACACGCAGCCGUUUAAAUGAUUUGUUGAAUUAAGUUGUCCUCCCUCAUCAAUUAAAACAAUGUGUAUCUGUCACAUCAGGUUGUUCUGGUUGGGACUACAUAGUUUCUGAAUGUCAGAAUUUAUUUAUAUAUAUGCAUGCAUGCAAACAAACAGGGUUAAACACCACCCUAACUGACAUUCUUUUCAUGAGACUAAACAGGUGGCAUAGUUUAUCACUUGUAAAUCUUACAUGAUUCCCUUUUCUAUGUAAUAACAUUCAUAAUUGACCAGUCAAAAAGUGUUAGAACCAUAAUUCUUAAAGACAAGAACAAAGAAACCUUUAAGAAUUUGGUAAUGUGGCUCCCAGUCACCAAUCAUGAUCCAGCACUAAGGCACCCCAUCCGAUUUGAGAUGAUUUCAAUGCCCCUGUACCACCACCCACUCAUAUCAUAAAAACUCAGCAGAAGUGCAUACAAGGGUGUAAAGUGGCCACAAAAGGGGUGUCUUUGGACUUUGAGCACCUUUCUGAAAGGACACAUGGAUCUUGUAAGUCAGCAAGACCACAAGUUGACAUUAAGUGUGCCAUUUGGGAGAGGGCCUUCAUUUUACAUCCUUCAUUCAGUAUGUUUUGAAGGAUGCAUCGAGUGUAUCUUUUGCGCACCACUCACAGUCCUUUGCAUCCAUGUUCCUAAUGUACAACAAUCUUAAUGUAA